rnacentral:rRNA from 1 species
AAACUGGGAUUAGAUACCCCACUAUUUUUAAAAGUAAAUAAAUUCUACCGGGGAACUACGAAUAAUAAUUUUAAUUUAAAACCCAAAGGGCUUGGCGNUGUUUUAGACUUCUUAGGGGAGCUUGUUUCGUAAUCGACAAUCCACGAUAGACCUAACCUUUUUUUGUAUCCAGUAUGUAUACCGUUGUCGUCAGGUAACUUUUAAAAAUAUAAAAGCUAGCAAAUAAGUUUUUAACUUGUACGUCAAAUCAAGGUGCAACCUAUAAAAAGGAGAGAAUGAGCUACAAUUAAAAGUUAUAAUACGAAUAAAACACAUAAAAAGAAUUUGAAGGAGGACUUAAAAGUAAAAAAAUAAUCAUAAAAACUUUUUGAAUCUAGCUCUGAAACGUGCACACACCGCCCGUCAC